AUCUGUGAUACAAUCCCCCUAACAACCAAUUCAUCUAAUGAAAGACCCCCAGAGUGGGGAGACCCUCACUCAAGUCUUGGGAUAAGCCGAUGCCCCAAUAAUUCAAGAGAGACC
rnacentral:pre_miRNA from 11 species